rnacentral:rRNA from 1 species
ACUCCUACGGGAGGCAGCAGUAGGGAAUCUUCCACAAUGGACGAAAGUCUGAUGGAGCAACGCCGCGUGAGUGAAGAAGGGUUUCGGCUCGUAAAACUCUGUUGUUAAAGAAGAACAUAUCUGAGAGUAACUGUUCAGGUAUUGACGGUAUUUAACCAGAAAGCCACGGCUAACUACGUGCCAGCAGCCGCGGUAAUACGUAGGUGGCAAGCGUUGUCCGGAUUUAUUGGGGCGUAAAGCGAGCGCAGGCGGUUUUUAAGUCUGAUGUGAAAGCCUUCGGCUCAACCGAAGAAGUGCAUCGGAAACUGGGAAACUUGAGUGCAGAAGAGGACAGUGGAACUCCAUGUGUAGCGGUGAAAUGCGUAGAUAUAUGGAAGAACACCAGUGGCGAAGGCGGCUGUCUGGUCUGUAACUGACGCUGAGGCUCGAAGGUAUGGGUAGCAAACAGGAUUAGAUACCCUGGUAGGAUAGCG